UAUUUUCUUCUAACAACACUCAUCACCACCUGAUAUAUGCUUGGCACAUCAAACAAACGUGGAAUGAAUUCCCAAUAUGCCCUACAUUCCACACUCUUCUCAAUGGCCCCCAUCCUGCUGCUUGACAAAAAUCAUACUUCUCCUUCAAAGCUUAGUUCAGAUGGGACUAUUCCUGAUUAUUCCCUCCUUUGCGCCCCCACAAACUUUCACUCUACCUCUAGUAUAGCAUUUGUUACUUUCUGUUUGUGUACAUGCCCUUUCUCUUUAUUAGGCUGAAAGCUCUCUGGGGACCCAGACUGAUUUAUUACUACCUGUUUACUUUAUGGGGCUAAGCACAUGGCAGAUAAUAAAUGUACACUGAAUUGAAUUCUUGGGCUCAUGGUAGUACAUUUGAUAUAGUUAAGUCUCAAAAUAAAAAUUCUUACAAAUUAUACUUCCUUACAAUUUAAAAUCUAGUCUUAUAUAUGAUCUUGGUUUCUAUUUGCAUCACAGACUUAACUGAAUCAUUUCACUGUUUCAUCUUCUGUAGAUGUCUUUUCAGGAGAGCAACGAGUUUUUGAAUGCUCAAGUAUCUUUCUACAAAUACCCGUUGUUUUGUUUAAUUAAUUCAGCCAAUUUAGAAAUGUUCUCUUGUAGUGUCUACUUCAUAGCAUUAUAGAAUUUUAGAAUUCAAAGGAACUUUAAACAUCUUAAGUUCAAACAUGCAAUCACUGCUUAAAUGGAUGUCCAUUUUAUGCUUGCAUCUGUCCAGGGACUGAGACUUCCCACCAGUAAGAAGGCCAGUAUGCCCAUGUCAAUCCAAGUACUUCCCCUCCCUUGUACUGGGAGACAUCCAGAUAGGGCCUCUGCCUGCCUCUCUGGCCUUACCUUCCACCACUCUCGUCCUGACUCACCCACUUCUGCCUCAGAGGCCUCUGCUUCUGGAAGGGAUCAUCACUGACUCAGGACCACAGUUUAUUUUUCUGCUGUUUGAGCAUGACUAUCCCCUGCAGAUAAUGUCAGUUCAUAAACUAAAACACAAAUGAAGGCAGAAGAAAUGAUAUUUACACUGAAGAACCAGGAAAGCACAGGCAUCAAGCAGAUGAGACUUUUCCGCCUUCUCUAUCUGGAGAUCAAGUGAAGACAGAAAAGCUUACUCAACAUCUCAGCCACCUUAUGAAGGUGGGUGGAUUUUCUCCUAGUGCACUGUUUCACUGAAGGAUGUAGCCACCUGAUGUCCUGGUAUCUUGUCUCUAUCUAAUAGUUAUUCUGUACAUACAUGCAUCUGAAGAAAGUUCUCUAAUGGAUUCAUAUUUGCAGUUGCUUUUUAUAUACUACAAAAACCUGUUAAACAUCAAUUACUAAACUACUAGAGGCCUGAUGCAUGAAACUCGUGCAAGAGUAGGCGUUCUUUCCCCUGGCUGCCAGCACUGGCUUCCCUCGCAGCCCCGGCUUUGUCUGGAAGGUCAUCUGGUCUAAUUAGCAUGUGAUGCUUUUAUUAUGGUAUAUGUUUAAAUUUCUAUGUAACCAUAACCUCAAUUUAUAUAAUAAAUUUCUGAUUAAAACGUGA